AUUUAGAAAGAAAUAAAAUUAAUAUAAUAUAUAUAUAUAUAUAUAUAUAUGUAUAUUUAUAUUACAUUAAAUAAAUAUCUAAAUUUAAGUAUAUCAUUUACAAUGAUAAGAUGUUUUUUAACUUUAUUUAAA
rnacentral:tRNA from 1 species